CUGAAUGAUAGGGCAAAGUGCACAGUAGCUAUAUGGAAAAAUACAGAUGCACUCUUACCUCUCAGAUGGCUGAAAGCGGUGAAAAUGUUCGCGGAGAUUCGCGCAACAUCAUUAAUAUUCACAUCACAGCGUUCGCGUAGACGGCGCGCGAAGAAGAAGAGCAACCAGCGCGAGACGCUGAAGUCGCUGCAGAGCUGAACAGCGGCCUUCCAUAUGAGCUCGUCUCGAUGAGGGUAUCUCUCUCUCGUCACUCUCUUCCCUCACGAUGAACGCUGUUCCUCUGGAUGGAAACCUUUAAAAGGACAAUGCUACAAAUUCUUCUCCAAGCAAGUUAACUGGGUCCAACUGGUAGAGAGAAACUGUCAAGACAUUAAUGGGAAUCUUUCAUCACAUAAACAAAUGGAAAAUGACUUUCUGCUGAGUCUUCUGACUGGUUCCACAAAUGCUUUGAUUGUUGGUGAUGAUG